AGUCCUUCUUGUUGUUUUUGUUGCUAGGGGCUGUGGGGUCACCUUCUCUUCCUCUCUUCUGCCACCCCAAGUCGUCUGUGUUGCGUGUCAUGCAGUGGGACAGCACGUUGGUCCGGACCUCAAGCUACCCACGUUCUAGUCCCGCCUCUGUCAUUUCCUAGAGCUGUGGCCUCGGAUCCCUCCCUGGUGCCACAGCAGCUGAGUGCGCAUCAAAUCUGAAGAAAAUCUACACAGUACAGACAGUACAGAUAUUUUGGAGUGUAUACAAUAAUAUCCCUCCUGUGACUAGCCUGCCUUUGAGAUGUAGUUAUCAUUUAAUGAGAGGAGAGAGGCGACCACUUUGCCCAUGAAGAGCAUCAUGCUUUUGAAGGUGGACGUGGAAAACACUAAUUGCACUCUGUAAAGAAUUCUUUGUCCUUUGCUGAUUGGUUUUGGAAACGGUCUUAACAGGAGGGAGAGUGAAGAGAAGACUUGCCGAAGCCGAUGCUGGUCAAUUUAGAGUGGGUUUCUGUCCUUGCAGAUGGGCAAUUA
rnacentral:lncRNA from 1 species